AUCCAUCUGACGAGUCCCAAAUAGGACGAAACGCGCGUCCUGGAC
rnacentral:hammerhead_ribozyme from 1 species